rnacentral:rRNA from 1 species
CCUACGGGGGGCAGCAGUGAGGAAUAUUGGUCAAUGGGCGCGAGCCUGAACCAGCCAAGUCGCGUGAGGGAUGAAGGUUCUAUGGAUCGUAAACCUCUUUUAUAAGGGGAUAAAGUGUGGGACGUGUCCUAUUUUGUAUGUACCUUAUGCAUAAGGAUCGGCUAACUCCGUGCCAGCAGCCGCGGUAAUACGGAGGAUCCGAGCGUUAGCCGGAUUUAUUGGGUUUAAAGGGUGCGUAGGCGGCCUUUUAAGUCAGCGGUGAAAGUCUGUGGCUCAACCAUAGAAUUGCCGUUGAUACUGGGGGGCUUGAGUAUGUUUGAGGCAGGCGGAAUGCGUGGUGUAGCGGUGAAAUGCUUAGAGAUCACGCAGAACCCCGAUUGCGAAGGCAGCCUGCCAGGCCAUGACUAACGCUGAUGCGCGAAAGCGUGGGGAUCAAACAGGAUUAGAUACCCGGGUAGUC